GAGGCGCCCGCUCGGGUUCAGCCCUGCGCCUCGCCAGCACGCCGGCUCCCAGUCCGGCUCCCUGGGCGCUGCAGGUGACCCGGCGGCACAUUCCGGCGCUCCCCGCUGCCCCGGCUACCACCACCCGCGACUCAGCUACAAGGAAGCAGAGAGCGCCCGAGCCGCCAACCAACCCCUCCCAUAAGCUCCUCUGGACCGACUGGAUGGGCUGUGCCUCCCGCUGCUGCCAUGAAACUGAGAAGCUGGGGAACGAUGCGCUCCAGCCGGGCAAUCGCCACGGCUUGGGAAAUAAGAACUUGGACAAAUUAAUCCUUUUCAUUAAAAAAAAAAAUCUUCGGAGGUA